AGUUAAGCCUAGCCGAAACGUGGCACUCCCUAGUGCACAUUCUCGCAUAUGAAGAUAAUGUACUAGCUUAGAGUUGUUUUCAAACACUAGGAUUCAGCCAUUUCCCACUUAUGAGAAUCUUUCUACCAUUGCUAAAACCUUUUGACCUUUGGAGCAUGGUCCCUCCCUCCCCUUGCUGAAGCAGACCACCAUAGGUUGAGGACAAACUCUUGCUGUUUUAUGGAAAUUGUUUUAGCUGAUGAUGUCCUUGCGUAGUUCCAGGCAAUGAGAAGGAUGCAGUAGGCAUCUCUGGGAAUUACAGGCUGAAACUCUUCUAGUAGUUUCAUUUCUAUCAUUGAAAGCCCUGGUA
rnacentral:misc_RNA from 1 species